rnacentral:rRNA from 1 species
AAUCAACGCUGGCGGCGUGCCUAACACAUGCAAGUCGAACGCGAAAGUCCCGCAAGGGAUGAGUAGCGUGGCAAACGGGUGAGUAACACGUGGGUGACCUGCCUUCGAGUGGGGAGUAACGUCCCGAACGGGACGCUAAUACCGCAUGACAUCCUCGCCUUUCGUAACAGGUGGAGAUCAAAGACGUGGGGAGUCGCAAGACCUAGCGCUGGAAGGAGGGGCCCGCCGCCUGAUUAGCUAGUUGGUGGGGUAACGGCUCACCAAGGCAACGAUCAGUAUCCGGCCUGAGAGGGC